rnacentral:lncRNA from 1 species
UGCUAACCCAGUGUCGCACAGGAUGGGUUCAGAGAGGAGAAACCGUGCCCCAGCGCGGGGCAGAGAGGAGGUGGCGCCCCUCAGAGGGAGCCCUUGGUCUGCCCACACAGCUGGCGAUUUCAUGCAAAGAGGCUGGAAGCAAAUGUGAAGGAAAUGUGAAGGAAAUAAAAAACAAAACAAAGCAAAGUAAUGAACGUGCCCACAGUCCUGAGGUUUUUAUGGAUUUGCAAUUCUGCAUCAGCCUGGCGACCAGAAGCGUGUGCAGUUUUUGAGGUUUUGCUCCCUUCCCUUCUCCCAAUAUCGCCUUCAUCACAGGUCACAAAUAGCUCCAGGGGGUCCCCAUUUCCGCUGACGUGGCAAAAUAUGGUACAAAUUAAACGGCCCUGGUGGUAUACAGAGAGCUGCCAACAUUUUCUUUUUUGGUGCUUUUAUCUUCCCAAGGGCAGAACCGGCCCUAACCAUGUGUAUUUUAUUUACAUCUCGUAUAUACCAGGACAGGAAUAGUUAACCAGAACUAAGCCAUCUGACAUUUUUCACCACAAAUUUGGU